AGUAAUAUCUCAUGGGACUCUCCUUUUAGCAUCUGGUGGGAGUGAAGGAAGCUGCCCAGAGGAUGUAGAUGACUAACCAGGGGUGAACGAAAGCAGCCACUCCGGACCAUUGUUUCGGCAUUGACACUUUGGAAAGAAAAUUGCCUGAGACCUUGGGACUACAUUUCUCAUUUUCUUAAGAAGUGUUUGGUACAACUGAACAUUACUGUGAAGUCCUAUAUCUUCACAUCAAACUACUACCUUCUCUAAUCAUUUG
rnacentral:lncRNA from 1 species